GCCCGAUACGAGUAGAAAAAAAAAAAAUGUCGCGUCGCCUAGAAUUCCGAAUGAAACGCUGCACUAUAAACUAUACGGGGGACGGGGAAAACGUUUAACGCGUCCGCCGACGAAAUUAAUAAUAUUAUUUACAACGAUGUAUCGCACAGUACGUCGUCAAUAAUAACGAUGAUAAUAAUUAUAAUAAUAAUAAUAAUAACACGUAUAUUGUAAUAACAUACACUCGGCGCAUUGUGUUGCGUACGGAAUUAACGCCUUCGGACGGCCUUGGGACGCGUAAGCAAAUACCAACAGGUGCAGCCAAGUCGGAAGUUUGCGGCCAGACGACGGGACACACGCCGCGCUGUAUACGCAACGCCAUUACGGC